UACGUAGGGUGCGAGCGUUAAUCGGAAUUACUGGGCGUAAAGCGUGCGCAGGCGGUUGUGCAAGACAGAUGUGAAAUCCCCGGGCUUAACCUGGGAACUGCAUUUGUGACUGCACAGCUAGAGUACGGCAGAGGGGGAUGGAAUUCCGCGUGUAGCAGUGAAAUGCGUAGAUAUGCGGAGGAACACCGAUGGCGAAGGCAGUCCCCUGGGCCUGUACUGACGCUCAUGCACGAAAGCGUGGGGAGCAAACAGG
rnacentral:rRNA from 1 species